UGGGGAAUCUUGGGCAAUGGGCGAAAGCCUGACCCAGCAACGCCGCGUGAGGGACGAAGGCUUUCUGAGUUGUAAACCUCUUUCGGUAGGAACGAUUGUGACGGUACCUACAGAAGAAGCACCGGCCAACUAUGUG
rnacentral:rRNA from 1 species